GACGAACGCUGGCGGCGUGCCUAAUACAUGCAAGUCGAACGCAGUGGGGACGGGUGAGUAACACGUGGGUAACCUCCCAUCAGAGGGGAUAACACUUGGAAACAGGUGCUAAACCGAUACUGAUGGAUGGACCCGCGGUGCAUUAGCUAGUUGGUGAGGUAACGGCUCUCCAAGGACACGAUGCAUAGCCGACCUGAGUGUGGGAUCGGCCAAACGAGGACUGAGACACGGAGCAGACUCCUGCGGGAGUCAGCAGUAGUGAAUCGUCGGCAAUGGACGAAAGUCUGACCGAGCAACGCCGCUUGAGUGAAGAAGGUUUUCGGAGCGUAAAACUCUGUUGUUAGAUAAGCGGUAUCUAACCAGAAAGCCACGGCUAACUACGUGCCAGCAGCCGCGGUAAUAC
rnacentral:rRNA from 1 species